UUACUGCGCGAGGUCCCACCGGGUGAGAUUUCUCCCCUUGCACAGGUAAAUACAGAUACGUAAGACGUUCGAGGGGUGGAAAUAAAAGCAGUGGAAGAAAGGAGGCCAUUGUGUGCGCUUACGCAAGUGACCCACGUGCGCCGGAGUUCCCACGGGCGCGCGGGGAGGGUUCCCGGGAGCCCUAUAUAAGGUCAACGGGACUCCGAAACGAUCACUUCCGAAUUUGACUAGCUACAGUAAACACCCCGGGGGGCAGCGCCCCCUGAGGGCUCUGAGUGCGAAUUGCGUCUGCAAAAUUUACCAGGCAUUUACCAAUAGUUUGUCAAUUAAAAGUUCGAAGCCAAAGUGGUGGUAAUUAAUGUUUCAUUACGGAAACAGUUUUUACAUCGAAAAUAAGUUUCAAAGGCGAAGCGAGGCGAGGAUUCUCGUUUUUUUGUUUUGAUUUGACCACAAAAAUGUAUUACCAGCUGGGUAUAACAAACGAACUAUGACAUCGUGAACAAACAAAAAUACUGAAUCAAAAUUUCAUCUGGCCGAAUUUUUCGGGGUCUUCUUGUAAAUAAUGGAAUCACCGGAGGACUUGGAGAAGACAUCAUGACUAAGGUGAAGUGAAAGAGUCUCUAGAUUCCCAAAGAUAGGAUAGGCUUAGGUUUAUUGUGUGUAGGUAGGCUAGGUUUGUAGUUUAAGCUGUGAGUGCCAAAUUAUUCCGUACAAUUUUUACCUUCGUGAGUACUUACCAAUGAUUUUUAUCAAUGUUUAAGAAUCUUUCGAUAGUGCCUUAAUGAUCGGUGUUGUUAGUUAAACUGUCCAGUUACCAUUCAUGUUUUUGUUUGUAAUGUUACGUUUUCUCGAGUUCUUGUUAACGUUUUUGUUAAAAAUCCGAAUUUGACAGUUGAUAAAACUCACAAUUAGUUUUAAAUUCACCAGUUUAUCGCGGGUUUUCACAAUUCCAAAGUUUGCUGUUGUUACAUGUUUCUGUUGUAUGGUUGUUAAGUUUUUGUUAUUAACACACUUAAAAGCUCCAAAUUGUUUUCUUGAUCAUUUGUUACAUUUCGUUAUUGAUCAGGGAUGUAAAUUGUUGUUUGGUUAACUGUAAAUAUGUUGAUAUUUUGUUUGUAAAUACCAAUUUGUUGUUACCAGCUGGACUGGGCAUUGGGAGGAUUGUGACUGACGUUAAAUUGUUGAGUUUGAGUUUUUGUUUUGUUGCUUUCUGAUCACAUCUAAACCCACAUUGGAUUAUUCAAAAUCAUCACAAUCCAUCAGUUAUAGAUUCAUAGAUAAAACAGUUAAAAUUAAUCAAAUUAAAAUUUUGCUCAAUUACUUUAAUGAUUUUAAGUUUAAAAAACAUUAUUUGUAUCAUCCUACUUUUCUGAAUCUAAAAAACCUACCUACCAUUCUGAUAAUCAUGUUGUUAAAGUUAUGUUUGUGUCAUUUGCCUGAAUAAAUCGUUGAUUUUGUAAUAAUUACUAAACAUAUUUCUUCGUGAAUGUUUCUAACAACGAAUUAAAAUAGAAUACCUUGCUUUACUUAAUUACAUCUUCGUUCAUGUUUUUGUUUUCGUUUGUAAAUGUUACUCGUUGAAUUUUUGUUUUGUUUUCUCAUUCCGUCAACCAGUUAGUAAAACAAACAAAAAAAAAAAUACACAAAAAAUCGUUGGCUGUAUACGUUCAUACAGAUUGAGUUUUUGUUUUGUUGCUUUUCUACUUGUAGAAUUAUCAGUAUCAGUUAUAUUAGAAACUAAAGCACGUACAGAAUUGUUAAUUUUAUUUGUUGAUUUUUUUGUUUCGAUUUAGUUGAUUUUUUGUUUUGUUACUUUUCCAACCCAUAACCCGGUUAUCUUUUUGGGUCUAAAUUGUUUUUUAAUCCCCGCCUUUAUUAGAUCAAAAAACUUGCAUCAGUACACUUUUGUCCUGCUAUCACAGCUUGUUGAUUUCACUGUUAAAGUUAGUUGAGUUUUUGUUUCGUUGCUAUUUUGUUUUACAUUGUCAAACUGAAUUGUUAAGUUGAUUCUGAAUUUGAGCCUACUUUAUCAGUAAACCUACGUUUAGUAAAGAUGGUUUCACAGAUUUGAUUCAAAUCAAAAUGCGUGUUAAGUUUUUGUUCUCGUUUUGCCUGAAACAAUCACAACGUGCCUUACGCCAAAAGUGCCUGAAAUUGUUUCAUUUUUUAUUAUCUCUUUUGUGUUUCUGUUAUUGCUUUCUGUUGGGGUUUUGACUUUUGUGAAAACCUUAUCAGGACGCUUUGUUCCUUUUUACGUGUAGUAUAACUAAAUCGGCUUCUGAUAUUUCUGUCAAAACCAACAAACGAUUGUUGAUACGUUUUAGAACAAAAUAAUUUUCCGACAAUACAUAUUUGUAACAAUUUAUUGCGAGUUAUCUACACGUGAAAUUGUUGUCUGUUAUUUUAACUUGGUGUUUAUCUUAUCCCCUACAUUAUUUGUUCAAAAAUUUUGUCAGCAUUUUCAUGAUCAAAGGCUUUCAGGAUCAGGGCACAUCAGAUACAAAAUAUCAUUUAAAUUGUAAUUGACUGAGUUUCUUCCUCCUCUUCUCCAGUGAAAUGUAGAUAUUUUUAUUUUGCACGUGUAAAGGGCUUAACAUUGGUACUAAUUUACAUAAUUUGAUUUUGAAUUAGAGUCAUUACGCAACGUUUAAUUAUAAGUCACAACUACACUUGAGUGAUAUUUACAGUCAAUACCAUACUUUUAUUUAUUAUUGUUUAUAACUUCAACUUAUUUUAAUUUACAUAAGUUAGUUCUUUUUUAUGGUCUUGCAUCACGCUACAAUUUUCAUUAUGGGGGUAAGAUAUUCAUUACGACAUAUUGUUGACUUUUGUUCAAGUUUUUUGUUAUUUUGUUAUUUAUCUUUAAGCGUUAAGUUGUCGUUAAGCUUUGUGAUAUUACUGUUAAAUUAAAAUGGCUGUGUUUGUUAGUUUUAUGUUAAGUUUUCGUUUUAACUGUUUGUUGUUUGUUUUCCGACAUUAAGGCCGCCUAAACCAAAUAAAAACUUGUACUAUAUUAAUUAGAUUAAGUUUUGCUUUUGUAAUAAUUAAUAAUGGAUAAGUUAAAACUGAAGCUUUGUGUAAAAUUAACAAAUAGUGUAAGGUAAUUUAUUAGAGAUGUAUGACAGUAAUGUGUGUUUGUGUGGAAUAAUAAAAGAAAAACACGAA